UACGAAGGGGGCUAGCGUUGCUCGGAAUCACUGGGCGUAAAGCGCACGUAGGCGGAUUGCUAAGUCAGGGGUGAAAUCCUGGAGCUCAACUCCAGAACUGCCUUUGAUACUGGCGACCUUGAGUCCGGGAGAGGUGAGUGGAACUGCGAGUGUAGAGGUGAAAUUCGUAGAUAUUCGCAAGAACACCAGUGGCGAAGGCGGCUCACUGGCCGGGUACUGACGCUGAGGUGCGAAAGCGGGGGAGCAAACAGG
rnacentral:rRNA from 1 species